rnacentral:rRNA from 1 species
UUUUCGGAGAGUUUGAUCCUGGCUCAGGACGAACGCUGGCGGCGUGCUUAACACAUGCAAGUCGAACGGUCCUGGAGGUUGGUUUCCAACUUUGAGGAUAGUGGCGCACGGGUGAGUAACACGUGGGUAACCUGCCCGGGAGUUCGGGAUAACAGUGCGAAAGUACUGCUAAUACCGGAUAUCUUCACGAAGGUGCAUGCUUUUGUGAAGAAAGUUUUUCGCUUUCGGAUGGGCCCGCGUCCCAUUAGCUAGUUGGUGAGGUAACGGCUCACCAAGGCGACGAUGGGUAGCUGGUCUGAGAGGACGAUCAGCCACACUGGAACUGAGACACGGUCCAGACUCCUACGGGA